rnacentral:rRNA from 1 species
CCUACGGGAGGCAGCAGUAGGGAAUAUUGCUCAAUGGGGGAAACCCUGAAGCAGCAACGCCGCGUGGAGGAUGAAGGUUUUAGGAUUGUAAACCCCUUUUGUGAGAGAAGAAAAUGAUGGUAUUUCCUGACUAAGCAACGGCUAACUCCGUGCCAGCAGCCGCGGCAAUAAGGAGGGUGCAAGAGUUACUCGGAAUAACUGGGCGUAAAGAGUGCGCAGACGGAGAUGUAAGUCAGAUGUGAAAUGCUGUAGCUUAACUACAGAACUGCAUUUGAAACCAUAAGGCUAGAGUGUAGGAGAGGUAGGUGGAAUUCUUGGUGUAGGGGUGAAAUCCGUAGAUAUCAAGAGGAAUACUCGUGGCGAAGGCGACCUACUGGAACAUUACUGACGCUGAUGCACGAAAGCGUGGGGAGCAAACAGGAUUAGAUACCCUUGUAGUC